rnacentral:sRNA from 1 species
UGUUUUUCUUUGGGUUAUGGAGCGUUAUUCUAGUGCAUGAGUUGGCAAUCGAGGGCGGGCCUAAUAAUCCGCCGAGGGCAUACCGAUGAAGUUCCUGGUGGUGGCUUUCGACGCCCAGUCGAGGGUUGCUGCUGGGGGUUAAGGACGAGGGGGAUCCGCAAUGGCAUGCGGGCGUUACCCUUUUCCGUGGAGGCCUAAGUGCGUGGCUCUAAGGGGCUACGGCUUAGGGUAGAACCUGCAUUAGGAAGGAACUUAGUGCAGUGUAGCCUGCCUUGAGUGGAAAAGUUGGGAAGGCUAAAAGGGUCUGGGCUGUGUUGGCCGAUGCAUUUCAGACUGCCGGAAAUGCUUUUCUGCAAAAGAGGCUAGAUUAUUAAGGAGUGUGAAGGAAACUUCUAGAACGUGUACUAACGAGGAUUGAAGUGCGGACUCAGUGGCGAUCAAGUUCUGAGUGAUGGUGACACCUCGGGCUGAGGAAAAGGAGAAAUCGCCUUACGGGAAACUGAAGGAACUCAGUGGGAAAACCUACUUGACCUAAGCCGCAAUAUUGACUCGUUAGCUUCCUAACGCCCAAAGAAAAGCA